GCAGGCUUGGAAAACCUUUGAACUCCUCAAGGUAUUAGGGGAUGGCAGAAAGGACAUUAUCUGAUUUUUCUUCCUUUUCCAGUUAAGGUUUAAUUUUGAAGGUGCCCUGUGUCCUCUCUACAGGUGUCCGGCUCCCUAAAGAAUGAACUCUUCCAUCCCCUUCUUCCAGACUGCUGACUAUAGACUCGGAACCUGUGAGGGUCCGACAUCCCCGACACCAUACACUAGAUUGAAAUUUGUUUCCCUUUGUCUUAAGAAAAACUCCUGGGGAUACUGAGGAUACCAAGAGGUUGGUGAAUGAUUGGCAGGAGUACUUGUGGCUCGCUGGGGCGCUGGAAGACCUUGCACAAUGCCUGGAAUUGUAUAUUGUGCACAACCUUGUUUUGACAGAACGAAAGACCUUCAUCCUAUUGCUCACUCGAUGGUUCUAUAAAAGCAAUUUUUCACUCGCAGGCUGUGCAGAGCCAGGUGUGCGUUCCAUAAUACGCCUAUUAUACAGCCAUUCUCAGUAGCCGUGCAUAUACAAUGACCCUUCUGAUUUGCCCCACUACCGAGUGCUUGCCAAGACUUCGGUCCCCACCUGGUACAACUUCAGGAAAAGGCCAAGGUAGCCUUAAUCAGCAUCACUGGGGACCAGUCCAAAGAGAACAGGUCAGAGGAAUACCAGAGUCUACUAUCAACAUGAGGAUUGUAAAUACUUAUAUCCACAAAAAUGCAGCCUGCUGUGCCUUUGUUGAGGCAACUUUUUGCAAUUGUCAUGAAUUCUCAGCAAGUCACUGAGUAGCCUUUACUCUGCUGCUCACCAGUACACCAAUUCCUGGGUUCAGAAUGGUGGCCUUGUGGAUCCCUGAGCCGACCUUUUGUUUGGGUGAGCUUCUGGCUGGGGCCUCUGCACACUUGUUCUAGGGGUGCCUACUGCUUUGGGUCCUAUGUAACUAUUUCCUGGGAGGGCCUUUGGCUCUGGGCUGUGCACUGCAGUUCCUGUUGUCUGCACAGGCUUUGGCUAGGGUCUCCAGGCACUUAUCAAUGGUAUCGGGGCAAGCCUCUGGGUAUUGUUUGUGUGCCUGUGUAGCUCUUUUCUGGGAAGACCUUCAGCUUGGGCAGGUGUGCAGUAGCCCCUGGGGUUGGCCGGGAGCCCUGGUUGGGAUCUGCCUGUAGCAUUGCUGGUCUGGGACUCACAGCUGCUCCCCAGGAUCUGAGAGCCUUUACCGAUGGAAUCACAAUCAGGUUAUUUUUGACAAAAGGGUCAAUUUUAUAUACUGAACAGAAGAGAGCCUCUUUAAUAAACGGUACUUGGGUAGUUGUUGUUAUCCAGAUGCAGAAGAAUAAAUCAUGAUCCAUAUUUCUUACCCUGUACUAAAAAUGAAAUGAAAAUGCAUCAAAGACCUAUAUAAAAACACAAACACUGAAUCUACUGGAAGAAAAAAUGGUAAAACUCUUGAAGACAGAGAUCUUUGCAUAUGCAAAGAUUUGCUAAAUGGAACCCCAUCUGCACACAAAAUGGUAACAUGAAUCACCAUACUGAAGACCAAGCUUCUAGCAUAUGAAACUUUGGUGUUCAUGCUGAAACCAUAUCCAAACCACAGCAGAGCUCACCCAAUCAUAAUUAUUGUUGCUACAUAAAAUGAAUCAAUAACUCACAUCAGGCUAAUGGUCAUUUGAAGAAAUAGAAAAAAAAUAAUUUAAACAUAUAACUCUCCAUAUUAUCCCAAGAUACUAUAAUAUUGAAGACAACAUUGCUUUUUAAAAAAAGGGGUCAAAGAAGAAGAUAAUGGGCAGGAGAAGAGAAAGUUGUGAAAGAAAGAAUCUUUUGCUAGAAAAUUUGGGGAUUUUUGGACGAAAUCAAGCUGUUUAUGUAUAAAGGACACAGAUAGAUUAUCUUAGACAUGACAGAAUGAGAGGAACAGAACAUUCUUGCAUCUUCCUUAAGAAAUGUAUGAUGAAAUCUAAACAAUAUUUAACAAAUUGAAAUCAUAGAAGACAGUCCUAUUUUUAAUGCAUUUGGAAAAUUUUUAAGUGAUGUCAUAUAUUUGGACACCAAGAAAACUAUGAUACAUUUUAUACACUAAAAAGCACACAAAAUCAGGUCACAACUUAGUGAAAGCAAAAAUUUAGUACAAAAAUGAAAUAAAAUCUCAACCAUGUAGAAUUUACAGAAAUAACAAUAAAACAAGUCAAGAAAUUUUUAAGUGAAAGAGACAAAUGAGAAAUGAAAUUGCAGAACAUAUGGGAAAUAAUACUAUUAAGAAAAGAUAUAUAAAAACCUAUAUGCAUCUAAAGCCAUGCUCAGGAGAAUAUUCAUGUCCUUGAUCAACAAAUUAAAUAAUAUUGUAACAUAAGAAAUUGGGGAAGGACUAGGAAAAUUAUCUUUAUGAAAGGAGAAAUAAGAACUUAAUAAAGAUAAUAGCAAACAUUAAUGGAUUAGAAAACAGUAGAAGUAUAAGUAAAGAACCCCCAAUAUAAAUCACUAGCUAAUCUAACUUAAAAAAGUAGCAUAACCAUACAGCUUUAGGAACCAAAAGAGAAAUAACUAGAUACAGAGAGGAUUAUAAAAAAAUGCUGAAGAAUUUUUUUUUCACAAACAUAUUUGAAAAUCUGAAUAGAUGGGUAAUUUUUCAAAAAGGUACAUACAGCUAAAACUGACUUCAGAUGUUAGGGAAAGUUCCAACAAAACAAUUACAAAAAAGAAAAUGAGAAAAAGAAAUCAUGAAAGCACAACCACCUAAAAGACAAAGGUCAAACUCAUAGUAUUUAAACUGUGAAUCUUUCAGAGUAAGUUUAGUACUUUUGCAGGCUGCCACGUGCAAAAAAAUGAAUCUCUUCAGGGAGAUGAUUUUUCUUUUUGUGAAGAAAGAGUGUUUUGAACUGUGGCAUGCAGAAGAGAUCAAAAGGUUAUUGAAAAGCUCUGAGGUUGGGACGAAGUUAUAUUUUCAGUUUAAGAUUUUGGAGACUCUUGCCAAAGUGCACCCAGACUUGAUGACUACUUUGCUGAAUUUUUAAAGGAAGAUUUGGGUAUAUGAUGCCUGGAUGUUCAGUUUUUUCUUACCUUGCUAUAUUUGUUUAUGUGACACCAACUCAAAACUCAGAUACAUAUUGUUUUGGGAAGUGACUGACUAUUGAGGCAUUUACAAAUGUGGUUAGAAAAGUAGAGGAAUCCUCUAAGUUUUGGUCUGGGGGUGCUUCCUUGGUCUAGGACUCUUCCAGCAUUCUUGAGGCCUUGCUAAUGAAGUGCUAAUGGGGUGUUAUGACUGGCUACUAGAACAAGGCAUCAGAAAAAUAGGCUGGUAAACACCGUUUGAAGAAUGUGCCUAAUCCUUUGAAGUGUGGUUUUAAUGGGAAGAUAAGCACAUUUCCUGUCAUGGAAUCCAUGGUUUUGUGUCCUGACCCUAUGUUAGAGAUUCUAGGCCACAUUUGGUCUCCUUCAGAUAGUACUUAUGGAAGAAAUUCUAUUAGAGGGAUGGUUCCAGGCUUGGCCCUCUCAUGUUUGAUUUGAUCAACUGUGCCUCAAGUAGGAAACCUCUAAAUAAUUGUAAAGUUGCUUAAGUGACUUUUAAUACUAUACUCUUACAAAACUCAAAUAGAAAUAUAGGUCAAACCAGGGGAAGAUAAGCCAAAUUCCACUCUAAACUUCUCUUUAAUAUCCCCUCACUAUGCCUUCUCCAAUACUAUGAUUAAAUAAGGUCAAAAGCUGUUCUUUUUGUGUUUUUUAAAAUCUCCCAGUUUUUAACAUAGUGGUCUGUACAGAAUGAAUACUGAAUCCAUUUAAUGAAUGGACACAAAUGGAUUGGUUUACUACAUGGAUAAAAGCUCUGAAGAAGUCGCUCUACUAAUCUUUUAUUAAGGGCAGCAGUCUGUGCUUUGGAUCAAACCUCAGCAAGAAAAAUUGAGGGUAACAUUUGAAUGACUCUAUUUUAAAAAACAAUUUUAGGUUCAGAGCAAAACUGAACAGAAGUUACGGAGAUUUCCCAUGUCUCUCUUCUCCCAGAUACAGACUCACUAUGUACACCAAAGUGCUACAUUUGCUACAGCUGAUGAGCUCAUGUAAAUAUUUUCAUAACCAUCCAAAGUUCAUAGUUUAUAUUUAGGUUUAUUUUCAGUGUUGUAGAUUCCAAAGUUUUUUUUUUUUAUUACUAUAUGUUUGUAGUGCAUAAUGUUUACAUUCCUUUUGGGGAAUUGGUAUAUAUACAAAAUACACGUUUGUGCCUUUUUUUCAUCUCCUGUCUCUUCCCUCCUUUCCUCCUCCAUCUACCUCUUUUUUUUUUUUUUUUUUUUUUUGGUACCGGGGAUCGAACUCGAGUUCUUGUGCUUAUGUAGCAGGCGUCGAAACCACUGAGCUAAAUCCCCGGUCCUCCAUCCACCUCUUGAUCCUCUCCUUUUUGUUCUUUUUUUUUUGUACCAGUGAUUGAACUCAAGACCUUGCACUUGCAAGGCAGCCAUGGCCAUUGAGCUAAAUCCCUGGCCCAUCCUUUUUUUUUGUAUGUGUUUGUAAUACAUAAUGUUUACAUUCCUUGUAUGGAAUUGGUACUUUGUACAAUGACAUGUAUCUAUCCUUAUAGCACACAUCCAGACAAUAGAAUCAUAAUCCAGAUUAUCAUUUUAAGGCAGUAAAACUAGUGACUUUAUAAAUUUCCUAGCCACAGGUAGUGUGUUAGGAUAGCUUCUUUCAUUUAGUAAUGUGUGCUUAAAUUUCUUUCAUGUCUUUUUUAUAGCUUAUUAGCUCAUUUCUUUUUAGAGAAGAGUACCAUUCUAUUGUCUGGAUAUAUAUAUAUAUAUAUAU
rnacentral:lncRNA from 1 species